rnacentral:rRNA from 1 species
GAGGGUUUUACUGUCUCUUACUUCCAAUCAGUGAAAUUGACCUUCCCGUGAAGAGUGCUGGGAAUGCACAAAUAAGACGAGAAGACCCUAUGGAGCUUUAACUAACCAACCCAAAGAGAAUAGAUUUAACCAUUAAGGAAUAACAACAAUCUCCAUGAGUUGGUAGUUUCUGGUGGGGUGACCUCGGAGAAUAAAAAAUCCUCCGAGCGAUUUUAAAGACUAGACCCACAAGUCAAAUCACUCUAUCGCUCAUUGAUCCAAAAACUUGAUCAACGGAACAAGUUACCUAGGGAUAACAGCGCAAUCCUAUUCAAGAGUCCAUAUCGACAAUAGGGUUUACAGAACUCGAUGUUCGGAUCAGGACAUCCUGAUGGU